GAUUGUAGUCUGCAACUCGACUACAUGAAGCUGGAAUCGCUAGUAAUCGCGAAUCAGAAUGUCGCGGUGAAUACGUUCCCGGGUCUUGUACACACCGCCCGUCACACCAUGGGAGUUGGCAACGCCCGAAGUCAGUGACCCAACCUUAACAGGAGGGAGCUGCCGAAGGCGGGGCUGAUAACUGGGGUGAAGUCGUAACAAGGUAAC
rnacentral:rRNA from 1 species